rnacentral:rRNA from 1 species
UACGAAGGGGGCUAGCGUUGUUCGGAUUUACUGGGCGUAAAGCGCACGUAGGCGGAUCGAUCAGUCAGGGGUGAAAUCCCAGAGCUCAACUCUGGAACUGCCUUUGAUACUGUCGAUCUGGAGUAUGGAAGAGGUGAGUGGAAUUCCGAGUGUAGAGGUGAAAUUCGUAGAUAUUCGGAGGAACACCAGUGGCGAGGGCGGCUCACUGGUCCAUUACUGACGCUGAGGUGCGAAAGCGUGGGGAGCAAACAGG